GACGAACCGAGCGAACGUUGUUCGGAAUCACUGGGCUUAAAGGGCUCGUAGGUGGCCAACUAAGUCAGACGUGAAAUCCCUCGGCUUAACCGGGGAACUGCGUCUGAUACUGGAUGGCUUGAGAUUGGGAGAGGGAUGCGGAAUUCCAGGUGUAGCGGUGAAAUGCGUAGAUAUCUGGAGGAACACCGGUGGCGAAGGCGGCAUCCUGGACCAACACUGACACUGAGGAGCGAAAGCCAGGGGAGCAAACGGG
rnacentral:rRNA from 1 species